rnacentral:rRNA from 1 species
UACGUAGGGUGCAGGCGUUAAUCGGAAUUACUGGGCGUAAAGCGUGCGCAGGCGGUUUCUUAAGUCAGAUGUGAAAGCCCCGGGCUUAACCUGGGAACUGCGUUUGAAACUGGGAGACUUGAGUGUGGCAGAGGGGGGUGGAAUUCCACGUGUAGCAGUGAAAUGCGUAGAUAUGUGGAGGAACACCGAUGGCGAAGGCAGCCCCCUGGGUUAACACUGACGCUCAAGCACGAAAGCGUGGGGAGCAAACAGG